rnacentral:lncRNA from 10 species
GGGGGAGAGGAGAAGGAGGAUUUUGUCCAGAGGUUGGGUGGGAAAGUAAUCCAAAUGCUCUAGUGAAGGUGCCAGGGCUAGUUCUAAAGAUGAGAAAAAUUUACUUCCCAAAGAGUGUUUAUGUUUCUCACAUUAAAAAAAAAAAAAAAAAAAAAAAGAUGAGAGUAAGAGCAAAAAAGGAGAAGAGGAAAACAAGGAAAUGGAGCUGUGCAGACCCUCUCUUUGUUUUAGGCUGUAUUUUUAGAGCAGCUUUCGAUUCACAGUAAAACCGAGAAGGUAGAGAGAUUUCUCAUAUCCUCCCUGCCCCCAUAUAUGCAUAGCAACCCCCGUUAUCAAUACCCCCCACCAGAGCAUGAAUUCAUUACAAUUCAUGAACCUUCACUGACAUGUCAUUGUCACCCAAAGAAAAUAUUUUUGACAUUAGGGUUCACUCUUGGUGUUGUACAUUCUAUGGGUUUGGGCAAAUGUAUCAUGACAUAGAUCCACAAUUACAGUAUCAUACAGAACAGUUUCACUGCCCUAAAAUUCCUUUGCAUUCCACCUGUUCAUCCUUCCCCCCUUCAUACCUAACCUUGGUAACCACUGAGAUUUUUACUCUCUAUAGUUGUGCCUUUUCCAGAAUGUCACAUAGUUGGAAUCAUGUAGUAUGUAAUCUUUUCAUACUGCCUUAUUUCACUUAGUCAUAUACUCCUGACCUCAAGCAGUCCUCCUGCCUCAGCCUCCCGAGUAGCUGGGACUACAGGUGCCUGCCACCACGCCUGGCUUCAUUUCAUCUUAAAGCUAAAUAAUAGUACAUUACCUGAAUGUGCCACAGUUUAUUAAUCCAUUCACCUACUGCAGGACAUCUUGGUUGCUCCCAGUUUGGGCAAUUAUGAACAAAGCUGCUAUGAACACCCAUGGACAGGUCUGUGUAUGGAUACCAAGGAGCACAAUUGCUGGAUCAUAUGCUAAGAGUACAUUUAGCUUUGCAAGAAACUGCCAAACUGCCUUCCAACAAGACUGUGCCAUUUUGCGUUCCCACCAGCAAUGAACGAGAAUUCCUGUUGCUCCACAUCCUUGCCAGCAUUUGGUGUUAUCAGUAUUCUGGAUUUGGGCCAUUCUACUAGGUGUGUAGUAGUUGUUGUUUUAAUUUGCAUUUCCCUGAUGACUUAAAAUGUGGGGCAUCUUUUCUUAUGCUUCUUUGCCAUCUGUAUGUCUUUGGUAAGGUGUCUGUUAAAGUCUUGGCUCAGUUUUAAUCAAAUUGUUUAUUUUGUUUGUGUUGAGUUUUAAGAGUUCUUUGUAUAUUUUAGACAAGAGUCCUUUGUCGUGUAUAUCUUCUGCAAAUAUUUUCUCCCAGUCUGUGGUUUGUCUUUUAUUCCUCUUGAUCUGCUUGGUCUUUUCCACUGUGACACUUUUCUUCUUUUCUUUCUUUAUUAUCACUAUAGAAAAGUAAAAUAUUGGGAGACUUCCUAGCUCAGGAUCACUUUUAGAAGAAAGGGAGCUUUGAGAAAGGGAGGGAAAGAGAAAGUUAUUAGGGAUCAUAGGGCUCUGUGCAGGAGGCAAAGGGCAGGUGAAAGCCAGAGAGGGGGGUCUGGACAGUGGGCAACACAGAAGCUCUGGACUCCUGAGAGGCAGAAGAAAGAAGAUGCCGGAAGUUGGAGAAGAUCUGAAUGCUGGGGAGGAGGAAUCUAAGAACAGCUUUACUUUGAAAUUUUCCUCUGCUGUUGGACUGUCUCCUUCUGGCUAUCAUAGAUUUUAAAAGAGAGUCGAUUUUUUAAAGGCGAGUUAUGAAAUCAUUUCUACCACAUCUUUCCUGUAACACACAAGCUGCAAUUCUUCCCCAUUUGUACUGACAAAUAAAUAGUGCUGGGGGAGGCUGGAGGGUUGGGGGUCACCUCCAGCCAUUCUUGCCUCGGUGUGAGGUGCUAGAAAGGCAAGCUGAUGACGUGGCUUUCCUGGGGGCCAUGGGGACUUUGAUUCAUGCAUAGAUGGCCUUCCCUUAAAUUUCAUUUUCUGGCUUACUAUUAACAAACAUCCUGGCCGGGCAUGGUGGCUCACGCCUGUAAUCUGAGCACUUUGGGAGGCUUAGGCGGGCGGAUCACCUGAGGUUGGGAGUUUGAGAUCAGCCUGACCAACAUGGAGAAACCCCGUUUCUACUAAAAAUACAAAAAUUAGCCAGGUGUGGUGGCGCGUGCCUGUAAUCGGGAGGCUGAGGCAGGAGAAUCUCUUGAACCUAGGCAGAUGUUUUGGUGAGCUGAGAUCGUGCCAUUGCACUCCAGCCUGGGCAACAAGAGCGAAACUCUAUCUCAAAAAAGAAAAGAAAGAAAGAAAGAAAGAAACAUCCUGAAAGAGAAGCCAGCACAGUUUACUUACCUUUUCGUUUCCAUGCUGGGGCAUCCUCUCCCCAGAGAGUGGAAGGGCCUCGGCCUCGAGGAUCUGGAGAACAGCAGCUGUGCGGCAGGACUGGGCUCGCCUCCACAGACCCCAGAAGUGCAGAGUGUGCCCCUGUGAGAGGCACACUAACUGCGGUUAUGUGAGUGAACCGAUGGUCAUUUAGGACUGAGAGGCAACAGCACAGUAAAGAUUCUGCCUAUCAUUCUAUGUGUGUCAGAUGAAGUUGACUGUAAGCUUUAUUUCAUUACAACUGUACAUUUCCUCUGUCUCAGGCUUUGUCAACUCAGACUUCAGUUACCUUUUUCUCACGUCUCCAUCCCAGAGCCCCAUGGAGAGGAGUGAGAGCGUGGCUUCCCGAGGGCUUUCCUUCCUCCUCCCCUCUGCCUCCCCAGAUUUGGUCUGACAAAGCUUCUUUCUAGGGUCCUGUUAUUUGGGGUCUCGCUGAUGUCAGCAGAGGCCGGCCCCCUUUGUUGCACUGCUCCCUCUGGCCUGAGAAUGGGAGCUGCAGGAUCCCAAGAGCCCUUUAUUUUCUGGGCGGUUCCCUGAAGCUGCUUCUCUCCUUGCAGGUGUCUCUCUGUGCUCAGCCCUCCCUCUGGGGAGGCUGAGUUGUCACUUCCCCAUCAGAGGAAGACAAUCUGUCUCUGACCAGUGUCCUGGCUAAGAUGGGGCCCCGGUGGAGGUGUGUGAGCAGAUGACUCAGAGACUCUUCUUCAUAUUAAAAUAUUCCAGUAAUUAUGUCAGGGCCGAUCCGGCUCACGCAUGGCACUUUACAAAAGAUACACAAAUCGUGGCCCAGUAGGCUCUGGGCCAGAACACACGCAAGGCACCGGCGUGCUCCACAGCACCGCGGGCGGAUCAGAGCAUCUCCAGCCUGUCAAAGACCCACUCCUCUGUAUCUCUCCACGGGAGACAAGCCAUUUGCCGGAGCCACAUAAUGGAGCAUUCAGCCUUUGAAUUGCCACUUCUCUGAAGACUCUACAGGGCUAUGAGGGUGACUGCCUCAGGCCGGGAGGAAGGGAGGAAGCAGAGGAAACAGAGACCCAGGGACACGCAGGAGACGAUGCCUUAUGCCAACUGAGGCCGAGAGUGGAGUGACAUCUAUAAGCCACGGCACACUGGCCACCGCCGGAAGCUGCAAGAGGCAAGGCAGCUUCCUCCCCCCGGAGCCGUCAGAGAGCGCAAGGCCCUGCCCGCGCCUUGAUUUCAGACUCCAGCCUCCAGAACGUGAGACAACUUUCUGUUGUUUUUACCUCCACCCCCUCUCCAGUUUGUGUCACUUUGUUAAGGCAGCCCUAGGAAAUGAAUACUCCCUCCCACCCACUUCUCUUUGCCUCCACUCUGCUGGAGUGCCGGGCCUGGAUGGGGAACAGGCCUGGCAGGGUUGCCCCUGGGACUACCCAGGGUAGCCUGACUGAGCACCUAUGUAGGCAAAGAAAACAGAAGAAAACAAAACAAGACAUCUGGUAAAAUUUGAAUUUCAGAUCAACAACAAAUUAACUUUUUU